ACGCACGCUGGCGGCGUGCUUAACACAUGCCAGUCGAACGGAAAGGCCCUGCUUUUGUGGGGUGCUCGGGUGGCGAACGGGUGAGUAACACGUGAGUAACCUGCCCUUGACUUUGGGUUAACUUCAGGAAACUGGGGCUAAUACCGGAUAGGAGCUCCUGCUGCAUGGUGGGGGUUGGAAAGUUUCGGCGGUUGGGGAUGGACUCGCGGCUUAUCAGCUUGUUGGUGGGGUAGUGGCUUACCAAGGCUUUGACGGGUAGCCGGCCUGAGAGGGUGACCGGCCACAUUGGGACUGAGAUACGGCCCAGACUCCUACGGGAGGCAGCAGUGGGGAAUAUUGCACAAUGGGCGGAAGCCUGAUGCAGCAACGCCGCGUGCGGGAUGACGGCCUUCGGGUUGUAAACCGCUUUCGCCUGUGACGAAGCGUGAGUGACGGUAAUGGGUAAAGAAGCACCGGCUAACUACGUG
rnacentral:rRNA from 1 species